GGACCCGCACAAGUAGUGGAGCAUGUGGUUUAAUUCGAAGAUACGCGCAGAACCUUACCAACACUUGACAUGUUCGUCGCGACUCUAAGAGAUUAGAGUUUUCGGUUCGGCCGGACGAAACACAGGUGCUGCAUGGCUGUCGUCAGCUCGUGUCGUGAGAUGUUGGGUUAAGUCCCGCAACGAGCGCAACCCUCACUUUUAGUUGCCAUCAUUAAGUUGGGCACUCUGAAAGAACUGCCAGUGAUAAGCUGGAGGAAGGUGGGGAUGACGUCAAGUCCUCAUGGCCCUUACGUGUUGGGCUACACACGUGCUACAAUGGUAUCUACAACAGGAAAGCAAGGCGCGACGUUAAG
rnacentral:rRNA from 1 species